rnacentral:rRNA from 1 species
CCUACGGGUGGCUGCAGUUUCGAAUCAUUCACAAUGGGCGAAAGCCUGAUGGUGCGACGCCGCGUGAGGGAUGAAGGUCUUCGGAUUGUAAACCUCUGUCACCGGGGAAGAAACGCUUUGAGUUAAUAGUUCAAAGCCUGACUUAACCCGGAGAGGAAGCAGUGGCUAACUCUGUGCCAGCAGCCGCGGUAAUACAGAGACUGCAAGCGUUAUUCGGAUUCACUGGGCGUAAAGGGUGCGCAGGCGGCCAAGUGUGUGAGGCGUGAAAGCCCGGG